GCAUCGGUCUGCGCAAUUGGGAACCGAUGACAUGUGUCAACCAAGCCAGCGAGCCUGACCACCCGAUCCCGUUAGUCACCUCUUACGACAAGCAUGGGUUACUGAAUGUACAUUCCUACCCGGACCUUUACGGGCCACGAGAUGGAGCA